UACGUAGGGGGCAAGCGUUGUCCGGAAUCAUUGGGCGUAAAGAGCGUGUAGGCGGCCCGGUCAGUCCGCCGUGAAAGUCCAGGGCUCAACCCUGGAAUGCCGGUGGAUACUGCCGGGCUGGAGUCCGGAAGAGGCGAGUGGAAUUCCUGGUGUAGCGGUGAAAUGCGCAGAUAUCAGGAGGAACACCAAUGGCGAAGGCAGCUCGCUGGGACGGUACUGACGCUGAGACGCGAAAGCGUGGGGAGCAAAUAGG
rnacentral:rRNA from 1 species